AGUGAACGCUGGCGGUAGGCCUAACACAUGCAAGUCGAACGGCAGCACAGUAAGAGCUUGCUCUUACGGGUGGCGAGUGGCGGACGGGUGAGGAAUACAUCGGAAUCUACUUUUUCGUGGGGGAUAACGUAGGGAAACUUACGCUAAUACCGCAUAUGACCUACGGGUGAAAGCAGGGGAUCUUCGGACCUUGCGCGAUUGAAUGAGCCGAUGUCGGAUUAGCUAGUUGGCGGGGUAAUGGCCCACCAAGGCGACGAUCCGUAGCUGGUCUGAGAGGAUGAUCAGCCACACUGGAACUGAGACACGGUCCAGACUCCUACGGGAGGCAGCAGUGGGGAAUAUUGGACAGUGGGCGCAAGCCUGAUCCAGUCAUACCGCGUGGGUGAAGAAGGCCUUCGGGUUGUAAAGCCCUUUUGUUGGGAAAGAAAAGCAGCAGGUUAAUACCCCGCUGUUCUGACGGUACCCAAAGAAUAAGCACCGGCUAACUUCGUG
rnacentral:rRNA from 1 species